AUGGAUUUGGUGCUUAUAGAAGUAGCAUUGGUUCUGACAGUGGAAGCUUUUUUCCUUCAAUACUUUCAAUUUCCAAGGGGCUCAUUCCCCACAGGCAAUGCCACUAUUGAGUGAAAGCAUCAUUCAAGCUCACAUAGUCACAGAUUUUCAGCUGGGAGAUAAAAGACUCCAUGCAAGACAAAUGGUAGGAGGACAUCAAACAAGACUGUGUCCAUGCAGUGACAGAAGCAAUCCAAUUGAAGAAGCUGUUGAUUUCUACAAGGUAACUUAC